rnacentral:rRNA from 1 species
AUUGAACGCUGGCGGCAGGCCUAACACAUGCAAGUCGAACGGUAGCACAGAGAGCUUGCUUUCGGGUGACGAGUGGCGGACGGGUGAGUAAUGUCUGGGAAACUGCCCGAUGGAGGGGGAUAACUACUGGAAACGGUAGCUAAUACCGCAUAACGUCGCAAGACCAAAGCGGGGGACCUUCGGGCCUCACACCAUCGGAUGUGCCCAGAUGGGAUUAGCUAGUAGGUUGGGUAAUGGGUCACCUAGGCGACGAUCCCUAGCUGGUCUGAGAGGAUGACCAGCCACACUGGAACUGAGACGCGGUCCAGACUCCUACGGGAGGCAGCAGUGGGGAAUAUUGCACAAUGGGCGCAAGCCUGAUGCAGCCAUGCCGCGUGUAUGAAGAAGGCCUUCGGGUUGUAAAGUACUUUCAGCGGGGAGGAAGGCGGUGAAGUUAAUAACUUCACCGAUUGACGUUACCCGCAGAAGAAGCACCGGCUAACUCCGUGCCAGCAGCCGCGGUAA